GUGGGGAAUAUUGGACAAUGGGCGAAAGCCUGAUCCAGCCAUGCCGCGUGUGUGAAGAAGGUCUUCGGAUUGUAAAGCACUUUAAGUUGGGAGGAAGGGUAGUAACCUAAUACGUUGCUACUUUGACGUUACCGACAGAAUAAGCACCGGCUAACUUCGUGCCAGCAGCCGCGGUAAUACGAAGGGUGCAAGCGUUAAUCGGAAUUACUGGGCGUAAAGCGCGCGUAGGUGGUUCAGUAAGUUGGAAGUGAAAUCCCCGGGCUCAACCUGGGAACUGCUUGCAAAACUGCUGAGCUAGAGUACGGUAGAGGGUGGUGGAAUUUCCUGUGUAGCGGUGAAAUGCGUAGAUAUAGGAAGGAACACCAGUGGCGAAGGCGACCACCUGGACUGAUACUGACACUGAGGUGCGAAAGCGUGGGGAGCAAACAGGAUUAGAUACCCCUGUAGUCC
rnacentral:rRNA from 1 species